UUGUGUUCUACUUCAAUUUUUAUGUUGUUCUAUUUCAAUUUUAUAUAUGCACACCACCUGUUUGAUAAAAUUUUGUUGUGAUUCUCAUCAACAUUAGAAGCUAUGGUGCAAAAAGGCAGUCCAGACUGUUGAUUUAUUUUAUAGUUACCGAACGCUGAGGUGAAUUUUGGCGUUUUUGUUAAAUUUUGUAUGAAACUUGAUUUUUUGACCUUUCGUAUUUAUUUUGUUAAUUUGUUUCAGAGGUAUAAUGUUGUGUUUGAGAGCUUUGAGUGCUUCCCGUGACCUUCUAUGUUUUGUGUUUCCUGGCAGCAAGGAGAUUUCCAGGAAGUAUGAACAUUUGCAAUGUUCUAUUUUAGUCAUUGCAUUAUAUGUGAUUGUUUUUGUUAUUAAUAGAAAGUGUUAAGUAAACAUUAUAUGGGGUGUCUUUUUGUGGCUUAUAGUUAACCGAUUGUUAUUAGUAGAGAGUGUUAAGCAACACAUUCAAUUUAUUUGUCCAUCUUUAUCAUUGAUUUCAAAAAAAUACGAAGGAGGUGGGAGGAAUGAUGACUGAAUAAUGCAGCCAGCUACCAAAACUGUAAUGCUUAUGAAGUUAAAAUUUACCCCAAAUAAAUUG
rnacentral:lncRNA from 1 species